UGACAACUUUCAACAACGGAUCUCUUGGCUCUCGCAUCGAUGAAGAACGCAGCGAAAUGCGAUAAGUAAUGUGAAUUGCAGAAUUCAGUGAAUCAUCGAAUCUUUGAACGCACCUUGCGCCCUUUGGUAAUCCGAGGGGCAUGCCUGUUUGAGUGUCUUGA
rnacentral:rRNA from 1 species